CUUGUGGUCAAAUGUGUGUUCUCUCUCCAGAGAGAAUUUAAGCUCCUUGAGGAUAAGCAUUGUUUCAUUUUUGUCUUUGUGUCGAUGGAGCAUAGCACAAUAACCGGAGCAAAGAAAGUCAUUAAUAAGUCCUUAUUGAUUGCUUGAUACCUUGAGAAAUAAUUUAAGCCCAUCUUCUAUCUACAAGUAUACAGGAAACCCAAACACAGGUGCAUGAGGAAAGCCAUUCAGGAAGAACAGCAGCACCAUUAAGCAAGCAGAUCAUUGGCUUUAGAAUCAAAGAACUUGGUUUCAAAUCCCAGCUCUUUCCUUUGACUCAUUGUAUAAGAAGAGGAAAAUGAGUUUAACCUCUCUAAGCCUCAGUUUCCUUGUUUGUAAAAUGAGGGGGUUGGACUAGAUGAGUUCAAAGGCCCUUUUGAGCUCUAAAUCUUUGAGCCUGUGCACCCACACCUCACCCCAACUGGGGAAAGACCAAGUUACAUUGGACUGAAAUGCUUAGACGGAGGUAAGUAAUCUGUAGGGAAAAAGGACUCCCAACAAUGAGAGCAAAGAGAUUUUGAAGGAUUCUUAAAACACAGGGCCUAUUCAUUCAGCUAGACCUGCCCAAGCUUCAGUCUGGUGGUGUCUGUAUUAGCCACAUGCCCAGAGACAGGAGAACAGACUGCAAAGCUGUCUGCUAGGCAGGUUUCCUACCCUGCUUUGUGUGCAUACAUGGAGGCCUUGCCCAGAUAACAAUUAACAGGGCAAACUAGCACAUGAAACAAGUUCCCACUGUAAAUAAAGGUAGGUGUCUGGACCUGGCUGAUCCUCUUUCUUUGACAGGCUCCUUUACACCUUGGGUAAACACACUCAUUCAGAGGUCCUGGGAGAGAGCAUGUGAACCUGCUGAUUUCCAGACUGAAUAUAGUUGGACUGUUCUUCCUUAUGAAACUAUUUCAAAGGAUCAACGUCUUUGAUUUUGAGAUGGAAAGGACUUUGGAAGUUAUCAUUUUUUAAGGUGAGGAAACUGAGGUCUCUAGAGGUAAAAUGACUUGUCCAGGGUCAUAUACCCAGCAAGGACCUGAGCAAAGAUUUGAAGCCAGGUCCUCCUAAUUCCAGAUCCAGUAUCAAUUCCACCACACCAUGCUGUGGCCCCAAAAAGUUAUCACUCCCUUGGCCAGCCUGGUGAUAAGUUUCUCUGAACUUAGUUAUACAGGUUCCUGGACAGUGGACAUACGAACUAUCACCAAAUUCAUAUUCAGGGUUUUUCCAGUUAAAAAGGACCAGAUAGAUACAGCAUAGUAGAGAAUAAGACAUGUAAAGUAAUAACAGUAAUACAAACUAGGAUAUGCUAAGUACAAAGGAGAAAUUCACACAAAAUGUUUUCAGGGUUCAUUGGGCAUAGAACAAAGACCCCAAGACAUAGCUUUAGAUAUAAAAGGAAUCAUAAGAGGCCAUCCAGUCCAAUUCUCUUCAUUUUACAGAUGAAGAAACUGGGGUGCAGAGGAAUUAAGUCAUUUGUGUCAUAAAUAGACCAGCUCUCCCACUUCCAUAGAUCAAUCAAUAAACACUUAUUAAGUACCCA
rnacentral:lncRNA from 1 species